rnacentral:rRNA from 1 species
UGAACGCUGGCGGCAGGCCUAACACAUGCAAGUCGAGCGGUAACAGAGAGGNGCUNGCNCCUUUGCUGACGAGCGGCGGACGGGUGAGUAAUGCUUGGGAACAUGCCUUGAGGUGGGGGACAACAGUUGGAAACGACUGCUAAUACCGCAUAAUGUCUACGGACCAAAGGGGGCUUCGGCUCUCGCCUUUAGAUUGGCCCAAGUGGGAUUAGCUAGUUGGUGAGGUAAUGGCUCACCAAGGCAACGAUCCCUAGCUGGUUUGAGAGGAUGAUCAGCCACACUGGAACUGAGACACGGUCCAGACUCCUACGGGAGGCAGCAGUGGGGAAUAUUGCACAAUGGGCGAAAGCCUGAUGCAGCCAUGCCGCGUGUGUGAAGAAGGCCUUCGGGUUGUAAAGCACUUUCAGUCAGGAGGAAAGGGUGUGAGUUAAUACCUCACAUCUGUGACGUUACUGACAGAAGAAGCACCGGCUAACUCCGUGCCAGCAGCCGCGGUAAUACGGAGGGUGCGAGCGUUAAUCGGAAUUACUGGGCGUAAAGCGUACGCAGGCGGUUUGUUAAGCGAGAUGUGAAAGCCCCGGGCUCAACCUGGGAACUGCAUUUCGAACUGGCAAACUAGAGUGUGAUAGAGGGUGGUAGAAUUUCAGGUGUAGCGGUGAAAUGCGUAGAGAUCUGAAGGAAUACCGAUGGCGAAGGCAGCCACCUGGGUCAACACUGACGCUCAUGUACGAAAGCGUGGGGAGCAAACGGGAUUAGAUACCCCGGUAGUCCACGCCGUAAA